AGCAAUAACAGGUCUGUGAUGCCCUUAGAUGUCCUGGGCCGCACGCGCGCUACACUGAAGGAAUCAGCAUGUUCUCCCUGGCCUAGAGGCCCGGGCAACCCGCUGAAACUCCUUCGUGCUGGGGAUUGGGGUUUGCAAUUAUCCCCCAUAAACGAGGAAUUCCUAGUAAGCGCGAGUCAUAAGCUCGCGUUGAUUACGUCCCUGCCCUUUGUACACACCGCCCGUCGCUACUACCGAUUGAAUGAUUUAGUGAGGUCUUCGGACCGACACGCGGUGGCUUCACGGCCGUCGGCGUUGUUGGGAAGUUGACCAAACUUGAUCAUUUAGAGGAAGUAAAAGUCGUAACAAGGUUUCCGUAGGGGAACCUGCGGAAGGAUCAUUA
rnacentral:ncRNA from 1 species